rfam:Schistosoma mansoni strain Puerto Rico chromosome 1, complete genome
AGCCUUCUGAAUCUGUGCGUAGAUUCCAUCAGACACCAGACCACCAGAACUUAUGAGACUCCUGAGAUAAAUGAAGAG